rnacentral:rRNA from 1 species
GGAUAACUUACCCUUUAGGACUGGGAUAACUCUGGGAAACUGGGGAUAAUACUGGAUAUUAGGUGGUGCCUGCAAUGGUUUACCUUUGAAAUGUUUUUUGUAUUCGCCUAAGGAUAGAUCUGCGGCUGAUUAGGUCGUUGGUGGGGUAAUGGCCCACCAAGCCGAUGAUCGGUACGGGUUGUGAGAGCAAGGGCCCGGAGAUGGAACCUGAGACAAGGUUCCAGACCCUACGGGGUGCAGCAGGCGCGAAACCUCCGCAAUGUACGUAAGUGCGACGGGGGGAUCCCAAGUGUUAUGCUUAAUAGUAUAACUUUUCAUUAGUGUAAAAAGCUUUUAGAAUAAGAGCUGGGCAAGACCGGUGCCAGCCGCCGCGGUAAUACCGGCAGCUCGAGUGGUAGCUGUUUUUAUUGGGCCUAAAGCGUUCGUAGCCGGUUUGAUAAGUCUUUGGUGAAAGCUUGUAGCUUAACUAUAAGAAUUGCUGGAGAUACUAUCAGACUUGAAGUCGGGAGAGGUUAGAGGUACUACCGGGGUAGGGGUGAAAUCCUAUAAUCCUGGGAGGACCACCUGUGGCGAAGGCGUCUAACUAGAACGAUCUUGACGGUGAGUAACGAAAGCCAGGGGCGCGAACCGGAUUAGAUACCCGGGUAGUCCUGGCCGUAAACGAUGUGGACUUGGUGUUGGAAUGGCUUUGAGUUGUUCCAGUGCCGAAGGGAAGCUGUUAAGUCCACCGCCUGGGAAGUACGGUCGCAAGACUGAAACUUAA